AGUGAACUUCCAUUGGAUGGAUUUGCCUUUCUGAUAUCGUCAGAUGCAAUAGUAAUUCCCUUUCACUUUGCAGCUGCCUGCAACUGGUGCAAAGGCUUGGACUGCUGCUAUACCAUUGAGUUGGAGAUUGGGGAGUGUGGCCACAAUAUUCAGCUCAGGAUACCCUGGUUGUAAUCAAAAAAUGGCACUGAAAAUUGCAAGGGAACGUGAAGCUGUGAAGGUAACUGAUGAUAUCAUCAAUUCUGAGGAUAAGCUCCUCGCUCUGUUUUUGAGGUGGUUAUCAAUUAAUGAACACCAUUUCGAUGUGGAUGAUAGAAAAGCUUUCAAAGAGAGAUUUGAAAUCUUCAAGAAAACCGCCCGGCGUGUCCAUAAACAUAACCAAACCAAGUCUUCCUGCAUUCUUGGAUUAACCUAUUUUUCAGAUUUGACUCCAGAUGAGUGUGUAAACUUGUCGUAUAAGGUCUAUCCAAAGAAAGAGGUCAAGAAAGAGGUCUAUAUCUAAAUAUUUAAGAAAACUAAGUCUUAGGAAUCUAGUUCUAUUAUAGAUUUAUGAUGCUGUUUUAUGGAUGCUAGUGGUCUAGUAGCAAGCUGUAUUUUGUCUGUAUUUUUGUUUUGAAGUCCAGUUUGGCAUAGGACAUUUCCUCAAUUUCC